UUUAAACUAAAUAUGAUUUUCUUUUUUCUUUUCAUAUAAACCCUAGAGCUAGAGCUGAAAAAAUGGAAGACAGAGAAUGGGAGUAGUGGCGGAUUAAUCGACCAAAAUGGAAUUAGAUUCAUAGUUAUAGGCUUCUCCGCCACAUCGGAUCCCUUGUUUUGAUUCGUCGCAUAGUGCAAACUUUACCCAUUUUCUAUUUGUAUUAUAUAAAGAAACCCAAGAAAACCUCACACCCUCUCUUCUCUUUCUCUUUACCAACCCAAAUUCAAAAUCAAGAAAAAGCAACACGCAAAACAAACCCACUAAAGCAGAGCUAAAACCGAACCAAGAAAGAACCCUUCUUGGUUCUUGCUGUCAUUCUUCUUGGAUUCUGUUUUGUUUCACGUAAAAAACAUUUGAGCAACGAAGGAGAAAGGAUUUGUUUCUUGAGAUCGAUUUUUAAAUGGCACAGCAAGGGCAGGUGUCUAUAGACCCUGUCGUUUUGGAUGAUAUAAUAAGUCGUUUGUUAGAUGUUAGGCAAACUAGAACAGCAAAACAACAGCAGGUUCAGUUAACUGAGAAUGAGAUCCGACAGCUUUGUACUGUUUCUAGAGAAAUUUUUCUUCAACAGCCUAAUCUUCUUGAACUCGAAGCUCCUAUCAAGAUCUGUGGUGACAUUCAUGGGCAAUAUUCCGAUCUUUUGAGGCUUUUUGAAUACGGGGGCUUCCCACCUAGUGCUAAUUAUUUAUUUCUAGGUGAUUAUGUAGAUCGUGGCAAGCAGAGUUUGGAGACAAUAUGCCUGUUGCUUGCCUACAAAAUCAAAUACCCUGAGAACUUCUUUCUUUUACGAGGAAAUCAUGAGUCUGCAUCCAUUAAUCGAAUUUAUGGAUUUUAUGAUGAAUGUAAACGCCGCUUCAAUGUGAGACUUUGGAAAACCUUCACUGAUUGCUUUAAUUGUCUUCCAGUUGCUGCUCUUAUAGAUGAUAAGAUAUUGUGCAUGCACGGAGGUCUUUCACCUGAUUUAACAAGUUUGGAUCAAAUUAGGAGCUUAACCCGUCCAACUGAAAUUCCAGAUUCUGGGCUGCUUUGUGACUUACUUUGGUCUGAUCCUAGUAGGGAUGUGAAAGGCUGGGGAAUGAACGACCGGGGGGUCUCAUACACCUUUGGGGCAGAUAAAGUGUCAGAAUUCUUAACAAAUAAUGAUAUGGACCUUGUUUGUCGUGCACAUCAGGUUGUUGAGGAUGGGUAUGAGUUCUUUGCAGACAGGCAGCUUGUUACAAUAUUUUCUGCUCCCAACUAUUGCGGUGAAUUUGAUAAUGCUGGUGCAAUGAUGAGUGUUGAUGAAACCUUAAUGUGCUCUUUCCAAAUACUUAAGCCUGCAGAUAGAAAGCCCAGAUUCAUGUGAAAAGAACAUAUUUGCUAUCCUGAUUCCUGCUUACAAUUAAUGAUACUUAGUAUGUGGAUUCAAGAGAAGCCAUUGCAAUUUUGUCCUUCUCAAGCUGUCUAUCAUGUCUUCAAAUAUGUUUUCAUUUAAUGGCUCAAGAGAUUUUAAAUUAAUUCAAUCCAUCUAUGAUUGGAGGGGAAACAUAUGAAGAUCGUUGGACUUUGAGAUGUUACGAACAGGGGAUAAACAUUCUCCUGUUGAGGGUAGGAUUAAAAGAUAUUGUUUGGAGGAGGAACACUCUCCUAAUUCCUAGUUUCGAGCUAACUGCUCUUAGUGCAGUGGCAAAGGCCAGAAGUUAUUUCUUUUUGUCUCAAUGAAAUUAUUAUUAAUGCUGGUGUAAAUUCAUUUUCUUUUGCUGUAAAUGACUGCAUUCUUCCACCAGUGUAAGAUUGCCUUUAAUUUUAUUAUUAAUUUUUUAACAAGA